rnacentral:rRNA from 1 species
GACAGAGGAUGCAAGCGUUAUCCGGAAUGAUUGGGCGUAAAGCGUCUGUAGGUGGCUUUUUAAGUUUGCCGUCAAAUCCCAGGGCUCAACUCCGGGAAUGGACUGAAUACUGGGUGACUAGAGGAUGUCAGAGGAAAGUGGAAUUCCAAGUGUAGCGGUGAAAUGCGUAGAUAUUUGGAGGAACACCAGUGGCGAAGGCGGCUCACUGGAUCGGUACUGACGCUGAGGUGCGAAAGCGUGGGGAGCAAACAGG